rnacentral:rRNA from 1 species
UACGUAGGGGGCAAGCGUUGUCCGGAUUUAUUGGGCGUAAAGGGCGCGUAGGCGGCCAUUCAAGUGACGGGUGAAAGCCCUCGGCUUAACCGAGGAACUGCCUGUCAGACUGGAUGGCUUGAGACCGGGAGAGGUGAGUGGAAUUCCCGGUGUAGCGGUGAAAUGCGCAGAUAUCGGGAAGAACACCCGUGGCGAAGGCGGCUCUCUGGGACGGUACUGACGCUGAGACGCGAAAGCGUGGGGAGCGAACAGG